GAUGAACGCUGGCGGCGUGCCUAAUACAUGCAAGUCGAGCGAACAGAUGAGGAGCUUGCUCCUCUGACGUUAGCGGCGGACGGGUGAGUAACACGUGGAUAACCUACCUAUAAGACUGGGAUAACUUCGGGAAACCGGAGCUAAUACCGGAUAAUAUAUUGAACCGCAUGGUUCAAUAGUGAAAGACGGUUUUGCUGUCACUUAUAGAUGGAUCCGCGCCGCAUUAGCUAGUUGGUAAGGUAACGGCUUACCAAGGCAACGAUGCGUAGCCGACCUGAGAGGGUGAUCGGCCACACUGGAACUGAGACACGGUCCAGACUCCUACGGGAGGCAGCAGCAGGGAAUCUUCCGCAAUGGGCGAAAGCUUGACGGAGCAACGCCGCGUGAGUGAUGAAGGUCUUCGGAUCGUAAAACUCUGUUAUUAGGGAAGAACAAAUGUGUAAGUAACUAUGCACGUCUUGACGGUACCUAAUCAGAAAGCCACGGCUAACUACGUG
rnacentral:rRNA from 1 species